GCCUUAACACAUGCAAGUCGAACGGGCGUAGCAAUACGUCAGUGGCAGACGGGUGAGUAACGCGUGGGAACGUACCUUUUGGUUCGGAACAACACAGGGAAACUUGUGCUAAUACCGGAUAAGCCCUUACGGGGAAAGAUUUAUCGCCGAAAGAUCGGCCCGCGUCUGAUUAGCUAGUUGGUGAGGUAAUGGCUCACCAAGGCGACGAUCAGUAGCUGGUCUGAGAGGAUGAUCAGCCACAUUGGGACUGAGACACGGCCCAAACUCCUACGGGAGGCAGCAGUGGGGAAUAUUGGACAAUGGGGGAAACCCUGAUCCAGCCAUGCCGCGUGAGUGAUGAAGGCCCUAGGGUUGUAAAGCUCUUUUGUGCGGGAAGAUAAUGACGGUACCGCAAGAAUAAGCCCCGGCUAACUUCGUGCCAGCAGCCGCGGUAAUACGAAGGGGGCUAGCGUUGCUCGGAAUCACUGGGCGUAAAGGGUGCGUAGGCGGGUUUCUAAGUCAGAGGUGAAAGCCUGGAGCUCAACUCCAGAACUGCCUUUGAUACUGGAAGUCUUGAGUAUGGCAGAGGUGAGUGGAACUGCGAGUGUAGAGGUGAAAUUCGUAGAUAUUCGCAAGAACACCAGUGGCGAAGGCGGCUCACUGGGCCAUUACUGACGCUGAGGCACGAAAGCGUGGGAGCAAACAGGAUUAGAUACCCUGGUAGUCCACGCCGUAAACGAUGAAUGCCAGCCGUUAGUGGGUUUACUCACUAGUGGCGCAGCUAACGCUUUAAGCAUUCCGCC
rnacentral:rRNA from 1 species